GAUGAACGCUGGCGGCGUGCCUAAUACAUGCAAGUCGAGCGAACGGACGCGAAGCUUGCUUCUCUGAUGUUAGCGGCGGACGGGUGAGUAACACGUGGAUACCCUACCUAUAAGACUGGGAUAACUUCGGGAAACCGUAGCUAAUACCGGAUAAUAUCUUGAACCGCAUGGUUCAAAAGUGAAAGACGGUCUUGCUGUCACUUAUAGAUGGAUCCGCGCUGCAUUAGCUAGUUGGUAAGGUAACGGCUUACCAAGGCAACGAUGCAUAGCCGACCUGAGAGGGUGAUCGGCCACACUGGAACUGAGACACGGUCCAGACUCCUACGGGAGGCAGCAGUAGGGAAUCUUCCGCAAUGGGCGAAAGCCUGACGGAGCAACGCCGCGUGAGUGAUGAAGGUCUUCGGAUCGUAAAACUCUGUUAUUAGGGAAGAACAUAUGUGUAAGUAACUGUGCACAUCUUGACGGUACCUAAUCAGAAAGCCACGGCUAACUACGUG
rnacentral:rRNA from 1 species